rnacentral:rRNA from 1 species
UACGGAGGGUGCAAGCGUUGUCCGGAUUUAUUGGGUUUAAAGGGUGCGUAGGCGGCCUGUUAAGUCAGCGGUGAAAUCCCAGGGCUCAACCCUGGAACUGCCGUUGAUACUGGCAGGCUUGAGUCCGGUCGAGGCGGGCGGAACUGGUGGUGUAGCGGUGAAAUGCAUAGAUACCACCAAGAACCCCGAUUGCGAAGGCAGCUCGCUGGGCCUGUGACUGACGCUGAGGCACGAAAGCGUGGGGAGCGAACAGG